rnacentral:rRNA from 1 species
UACGUAGGGGGCAAGCGUUGUCCGGAUUUAUUGGGCGUAAAGAGCGUGUAGGCGGCCAGACAAGUCUGCUGUGAAAACUCGAGGCUCAACCUCGAGCUGUCGGUGGAAACUGUCUGGCUAGAGUCCGGAAGAGGAGAGUGGAAUUCCUGGUGUAGCGGUGAAAUGCGUAGAUAUCAGGAGGAACACCUGUGGUGUAGACAGCUUACUGGACCAUUUCUGACGCUGAGACACGAAAGCGUGGGUAGCAAACAGG